GUCGAGCGGCGGACGGGUGAGUAACACGUGAGAAUCUGCCCAUUAGUGGGGGAUAACCUGGGGAAACCCAGGCUAAUACCGCAUAAUCCCUACGGGGGAAAGCAGGGGACCUUCGGGCCUUGUGCUGAUGGAUGAGCUCGCGUCGGAUUAGCUUGUUGGUGAGGUAAUGGCUCACCAAGGCGACGAUCCGUAGCUGGUCUUAGAGGAUGAUCAGCCACACCGGGACUGAGACACGGCCCGGACUCCUACGGGAGGCAGCAGUGGGGAAUCUUGGACAAUGGGGGCAACCCUGAUCCAGCCAUGCCGCGUGUGUGAAGAAGGCCUUCGGGUUGUAAAGCACUUUCAGUAGGGAGGAAGGCUUAUCCUUAAUACGGAUGAGUACUUGACGUUACCUACAGAAGAAGCACCGGCUAAUUUCGUGCCAGCAGCCGCGGUAAUACGAAAGGUGCGAGCGUUAAUCGGAAUUACUGGGCGUAAAGCGCGCGUAGGCGGUUUGCUAAGUCAGAUGUGAAAGCCCCGGGCUCAACCUGGGAACUGCAUUUGAAACUGGCAGGCUAGAAUGCAGUAGAGGGAGGUGGAAUUUCCGGUGUAGCGGUGAAAUGCGUAGAGAUCGGAAGGAACACCAGUGGCGAAGGCGGCCUCCUGGACUGACAUUGACGCUGAGGUGCGAAAGCGUGGGGAGCAAACAGGAUUAGAUACCCUGGUAGUCCACGCCGUAAACGAUGUCUACUAGUCGUUGGGAAUCUUAGUAUUCUUGGUGACGAAGUUAACGCGAUAAGUAGACCGCCUGGGGGAGUACGGCCGCAAGGUUAAAACUCAAAUGAAUUGACGGGGGCCCGCACAAGCGGUGGAACCAUGGUGGUUUAAUUCGAUGCAACGCGAAGAACCUUACCAGGCCUUGACAUCCUUGGAACUUUCUA
rnacentral:rRNA from 1 species